rnacentral:rRNA from 1 species
CCUACGGGAGGCAGCAGUGGGGAAUAUUGGACAAUGGGCGAAAGCCUGAUCCAGCAAUGCCGCGUGAGUGAAGAAGGCCUUCGGGUUGUAAAGCUCUUUUACCCGGGAAGAUAAUGACUGUACCGGGAGAAUAAGCCCCGGCUAACUCCGUGCCAGCAGCCGCGGUAAUACGGAGGGGGCUAGCGUUGUUCGGAAUUACUGGGCGUAAAGCGUACGUAGGCGGCUUUGUAAGUCAGAGGUGAAAGCCCACGACUCAAUCGUGGAACUGCCUUUGAGACUGCUUCGCUUGAAGAUGGGAGAGGUUAGUGGAAUUCCGAGUGUAGAGGUGAAAUUCGUAGAUAUUCGGAAGAACACCAGUGGCGAAGGCGGCUAACUGGACCAUUCUUGACGCUGAGGUACGAAAGCGUGGGGAGCAAACAGGAUUAGAUACCCUGGUAGUCCACGCCGUAAACGAUGAUAACUAGCUGUCGGGGCUCUUGGAGCUUCGGUGGCGCAGCUAACGCAUUAAGUUAUCCGCCUGGGGAGUACGGCCGCAAGGUUAAAACUCAAAGGAAUUGACGG